CCCUUAGAUGUUCUGGGCUGCACGCGCGCUACACUGAUCAGUGCAACAAGCAUCCGUCCUUGGCCGACAGGCCCGGGCAAUCUUUGAACGCUGAUCGUGAUGGGGAUAGACUUUUGCAAUUUUUGGUCUUCAACGAGGAAUUCCUAGUAAACGCAAGUCAUCAACUUGCAUUGAUUACGUCCCUGCCCUUUGUACACACCGCCCGUCGCACCUACCGAUUGAAUGGUCCGGUGAAGCCUCCGGAUUGGCGUGCACCCUCGGGUGCUGCCGAGAAGUUGGCUAAACCUUACCAUUUAGAGGAAGGUGAAGUCGUANCA
rnacentral:rRNA from 1 species